UACGAGAGGCCCAAACGUUAUUCGGAAUUACUGGGCUUAAAGAGUUCGUAGGCGGCGCAGAAAGUGGGGUGUGAAAGCCCUCGGCUCAACCGAGGAAUUGCGCUCCAAACUACUGUGCUUGAGGAAGCUAGAGGUGAGCAGAACUGAUGGUGGAGCGGUGAAAUGCGUUGAUAUCAUCAGGAAUACCGGAGGCGAAGGCGGGUCUCUGGACAGUUCCUGACGCUGAGGCACGAAGGCCAGGGGAGCAAACGGG
rnacentral:rRNA from 1 species